rnacentral:rRNA from 1 species
AUCUGCCGUGGGCGCUGGAGAACUGAGGGGGGCUGCUCCUAGUACGAGAGGACCGGAGUGGACGCAUCACUGGUGUUCGGGUUGUCAUGCCAAUGGCACUGCCCGGUAGCUAAAUGCGGAAGAGAUAUUGUAGGAUAGGUGGGAGGCUUUGAAGUGUGGACGCCAGUCUGCAUGGAGCCGACCUUGAAAUACCACCCUUUAAUGUUUGAUGUUCUAACGUGGACCCG